AGGGAAGGGUGUAGCCAGCACUGGUUUUACACAGUGAGCAUGGCCAGAGUUCACACAACGCCAGGCACAUGGAGCUGCUCUGCCCUGGAGCAGUACCAGGACACACUCCAGGACAAAGAGCCACUCCAGGGAAGGGCGGGAGGCAAGGCUGACAAAUUUGCAUGGCAGGUUUUAUUUUGGGCAGCAACCUGGCUCUGCAGUUUUGUACCAAGUACAUCUGCAAGGGCUCUGUUUGAGCCUGACCCCUGCACAGCACAGGCUUAUUCAGAGGGUUUGGAGAUUACUUUGUUGUCCUGGGAACAAGAAAGAGAUUCAUCACAGGUAUCUCCUGAAGAGAAAUAUAAAAGGAACUCCAAGGAUUCAGACUAAAGUCUCCUCUGCAGCAAAUGGAAAAUUCCAACAACUCUUCAGUUGUGUUGAGUUCAGUGAAAGCCUCAAACAGGGCAGACAUCACCUGGGCCAGAGUGAGCAGUCAGGCAAUCCCAGCUGUGCUGGGACACAGGUGCUGCCCAUUCAGGCAAUUAACUAAUUAGGGGACACCUGCAGAUGGUGAUGUUGCUGUGCCAUGUCUGGUGUGGAUUGCCAGGGCUCUCCUGGGGUUUUGCUGCAGACAUCAGUGCAACAUUGCAGGGCAAGGUGGCUCUUUUGCUGUGGGGUUAACUUGAGAUGGAGCAGUGCCAGCAGGUUGAGAGUGGUCCUGAUUUUGAGAGGUGUGAAGUUGGCUUCAGGUUCAUGUUGUGGUGGCCUGACAAGCCAAAGGGACACCUUGAUGCCUCUGCAGGCACUGAAAAUAUGAGUCAAAGGGCUAGUGCUGCUCCAGGUGGUUACACUGCUGCAUCUGCAUGGGUUGUAUCCUGAAAUUGAAGCUUAUUUGGUGGGAGAAAACCCAACAGCUGCCAAUCUUAUGGUUAGGAUUGAUUGCAUCUUGCUUCACACCCUGCUAAAAGGUGAGUGAUAACAGGAACUGCCUGUGCUGACAGCAGGCAGCAAUUUGGUGAUCACUGAGAACAGCAUUGGGAGACAGAUAUUCAAUUCCUACCUACUUCAGAAGGGAAAAACAACAACAUGGACCUGAUGUAACAGUGUCCAUGACAGCAGCUGCCUUCUCCUCCCCAGUCAGAGUGCCUGUGAGCCUCUGAUAGGUUAUAACCAGCUGACACAAACCUUUACUCCAGCUGCUCUCAGAGCUGUGCAGGGUGGAAGGGACCCCCAAAGAUCCCAGUUCCAGUCCCUGUGCCAUGGGCAGGGCUGAUGCAGGGGGAUAAUGGGGAUCCCCAGCCAGGAGGGGAUGCUCAAAUCACCGCCUGGCCCGGGGACUCACUUUGUGGAGUCACCUCAGAGGUUCACAUUGCCCGUGGGGUUCCCUGCCCUGCAGCUCUCUGGGCUCUGCCCCACAUGCCCUCAAGAUUUCUGUGGCCUUGGAAGGAAAAGAGGUUGAUGGCACCACUGUAAUUAGGGUGAUGCCAGUCCAGAUUAAAUGACUUCCCUCAUUUGCAUGUGUGGUGCAAUC